rnacentral:rRNA from 1 species
AACGAACGCUGGCGGCAUGCCUAACACAUGCAAGUCGAACGAGACCUUCGGGUCUAGUGGCGCACGGGUGCGUAACGCGUGGGAACCUGCCCUUAAGUUCGGCAUAACUCCCCGAAAGGGGUGCUAAUACCGGAUAAUGUCUUCCGACCAAAGAUUUAUCGCCUUUGGAUGGGCCCGCGUUGGAUUAGCUAGUUGGUAGGGUAAAAGCCUACCAAGGCGACGAUCCAUAGCUGGUCUGAGAGGAUGAGCAGCCACACUGGGACUGAGACACGGCCCAGACUCCUACGGGAGGCAGCAGUGGGGAAUAUUGGACAAUGGGCUGAAGCCUGAUCCAGCAAUGCCGCGUGAGUGAUGAAGGCCUUAGGGUUGUAAAGCUCUUUUACCCGGGAUGAUAAUGACAGUACCGGGAGAAUAAGCUCCGGCUAACUCCGUG